CUUAGUCUUAAACUUCAAUAAUUUUCAAAAACAAAAUUAUUUGCCAGAGAACUACUAGCCACCGCUUAAAACUCAAAGGACUUGGCGGUACUUUAUAUCCACCUAGAGGAGCCUGUUCUAUAAUCGAUACACCCCGAUACACCUCACCACCCCUUGCUAAUGCAGCCUAUAUACCGCCWUCUUCAGCAAACCUKAAAAAAGAAUAAAAGUAAGCAAGAGUAUACUCAUAAAAACGUUAGGUCAAGGUGUAGCCRAUGGGGUGGGAAGAAAUGGGCUACAUUUUCUUUAUCAAGAACACUCACGAAACUCUCUAUGAAAUUACAGAAUAAAGGAGGAUUUAGUAGUAAAUUAAGAAUAGAGUGCUUAAUUGAAUGGAGCAAUGAAGUA
rnacentral:rRNA from 1 species